UCCGGUUUGUCACCGGCAGUCCCAUUAGAGUGCUCAACUGAAUGUAGCAACUAAUGGCAAGGGUUGCGCUCGUUGCGGGACUUAACCCAACAUCUCACGGCACGAGCUGACGACAGCCGUGCAGCACCUGUGCACUUCGCCCUUGCGGGCCACCCGCUUUCACGGGCUGAACAGUGCAUGUCAAGCCCUGGUAAGGUUCUUCGCGUUGCGUCGAAUUAAACCACACGCUCCGCUGCUUGUGCGGGCCCCCGUCAAUUCCUUUGAGUUUUAGCCUUGCGGCCGUACUCCCCAGGCGGGCCACUUAACGCGUUAGCUGCGGCGCGGAGGGGGUCGAUACCCCCCAUACCUAGUGGCCAUCGUUUACGGCGUGGACUAC
rnacentral:misc_RNA from 1 species